CACGGACCCUGGGCGCAGCUGAUGCAGCCUGCCGCGUGAGUGAAGAAGGCCUUCGGGUUGUAAAGCUCUUUCCUCCGGGAAGAAAUCGACGGCUCCAACAUAGGAAGCCCCUGAUAACUCCGUGCCAACAACCACCGUAAUACUACGUGCCAGCAGCCGCGGUAAUAAA
rnacentral:rRNA from 1 species